rnacentral:rRNA from 1 species
UUCCUACGGGGGGCAGCAGUAGGGAAUCUUCCGCAAUGGACGAAAGUCUGACGGAGCAACGCCGCGUGAGUGAUGAAGGCUUUCGGGUCGUAAAACUCUGUUGUUAGGGAAGAACAAGUACGAGAGUAACUGCUCGUACCUUGACGGUACCUAACCAGAAAGCCACGGCUAACUACGUGCCAGCAGCCGCGGUAAUACGUAGGUGGCAAGCGUUAUCCGGAAUUAUUGGGCGUAAAGCGCGCGCAGGCGGUUUCUUAAGUCUGAUGUGAAAGCCCACGGCUCAACCGUGGAGGGUCAUUGGAAACUGGGGAACUUGAGUGCAGAAGAGAAAAGCGGAAUUCCACGUGUAGCGGUGAAAUGCGUAGAGAUGUGGAGGAACACCAGUGGCGAAGGCGGCUUUUUGGUCUGUAACUGACGCUGAGGCGCGAAAGCGUGGGGAGCAAACAGGAUUAGAUACC